UGAUGUAUUUCUGAGGCAUCAUUAGUUUGUAUCUGAGGUGUUCAGUUGUUAUCUCUUGAUGAUAAGUCUCCAUGUAUUUAAGUAUUUGAUGAUACGAUGGUACAGAUUCCUAUGUUAUGAUUAAAGCAAAUUUGAUUAUGUAUCAUAUCAAGUUUCGAUUUUAAGCUUCUGCAUUUAUGAUGAUUACCUAUCUUAGCUUAUUGAUUCUUAUUUAGUAUGCUGAGAAGGUAAAACGGGAUUGUCGAGAAAUGGUUUAUAUUGAAAAAAAAAUAUUCUUGAAAUUCCUAAGUUAUUUAACGCUCGGAAAAGCGGGACGUUAUAAAGAUAAAACCAAAAUAAGAGGAAGAAGAUCAAAUAAAGCUACAGCCAGUUGUUCCUAAGAAUUAGGUGAAGAUAAAGCUAUAGCUAUUCCUAAGAAUUAGGUGAAGAAGAUCAAAUAAAGCUACAGCCAGCUGUUCCUAAGAAUUAGGUAAAGAUAAAGCUAUAGCUAUUCCUAAGAAUUAGGGGAAAACUUGGGAGUAAAUUUCUCUCCUUAUCUGUUGUUGUUUUUGUAUUUUAAACUCUUAAAAUUUAGAUAGUAGAUAAGUAGAAUUGUUGUAUUUAAAGCAUCCUUGUAACUGAGAAUGGUGUAGCAGUUAGUAUUUGUUGAAAUCCUGAAUGAUUUGAAGAGGAUUUGGAGGAGAUUGCGGUAAGAGAUUGAGACCAUAAUGAGAUCCAAUAUUUAGGCUGUUUAGGCUGAUUAUUUGGGUUUAAUUUUAUGUUUUCAUAUUUGUUGAUUCUCUAUAUACAUGUUAAAUAGGGACCGAGUAUGCAAAGAAUAUUUGAACUAAUUGAAUAAGGUUUUGAUUCAAUUUCCAUAUUCUCAUCGUCUUUAUGGUAUCAGAGCUCAGGUCACUCUGAAAAUCCUAGCAAGCCAUGGUCGCCAGCCAUGAGUCUACCCAGUCGGUAACUUAGGAGGGAGAAUCAGAGAUAAUCCCUUCCAUGGGUUCGACCGACGGGUUUGAAAAUUCCUUAAUUUAUCUUACCGUAGAAAAGCUGAAUGGUAAGAACUACCGAGAAUGGGCCUAAUCUAUCAAGUCGGUCAUCGACGACAAAGGCAAACUGGGCUUCCUUAUCGGUGAGAUCAAACAGCCACCUUCCAAGGAAGUAGCGGCCUUCCAGAAAUGGCGUUAUGAGAAUUCCCUCAUAACCUCCUACUUGAUCAACUCCAUGCGAUCAGCAAUCGGCAAAAUGUACAUGUUCCUGCCGACGGCGAAAGACAUGUGGGAAGCUGUUAGCGAAACCUACUCCGACGCCGAGAAUGCCUCUCAAAUCUUCAAGAUAAAGACUCGGCUGUGGCAGAUGAAGCAGGGAGAAAGAAAGGUGACGGAAUACUACACGGAGAUGUUGGGUUUAUGGCAGGAACUAGACCUCAACUGUGAAGAAUCUUGGGAGUGCAUGAGUGAUAGUGUGUGAUUCAAGAAGAGAAUGGAGAAUGAGAGAGUGUACAAGUUUCUGGCUGGGCUCAACAGAGAGCUCGAUGAUGUGAGGAGCCGAGUCUUUGGUCGCCGGCCAUUACCUUCCAUUCGAGAGGUGUUCUCCGAAAUUCGACGUGAAGAAAGUAGAAGGAAGGUGAUGUUGAAGGAGAAAAUCGCGCCUGGGCCUGAAGCUUCAGCCCUUGUAACCCGUGGGCCUCCCACAGGAUCUAGGUUGAGAAAAAAUAAAAGGCCAUUUUGUGACCAUUGAAAAAAAUCAGGCCAUUCUAAAGAUAUCUGCUGGGUUUUACAUGGAAAGCCUGCUGACUGGAAGCCCAGACGGCCCAACAAAUCCCAUGGGUACGAGGCUUUGACUGAACAGCAGAAAGAAACAACCCAUCACACUCAGUCGGCCUCUAUUGGGGGUUUUAAUCCCGAGCAACUUGAGAAGUUAUAUGCUCUUUUUUUGACCUUUCAAGCCUCGGGUCAGUCUUCUACUUUGCCAUCGGGUUCCUUAGCCCACAAAGGUACUUUUUUGACUGCUCUUAGUACUACUUCGUGCCGUACUCCCUGGAUUAUUGAUUCUGGUGCAUCCGACCAUAUGACUAAUACCCAUCAUUUAUUUUCUACAUAUUUACCUUGUGCUGGUAACUUGAAAGUAAAAAUUACAGAUGGUACUAUAUCCCCAGUCGCUGGCAAAGGGAGUAUCUGUAUCUCUGAAUUUAUUACUUUGGAGUCUGUUCUUCAUGUUCCUAAUCUAUCUUGCAAUCUGUUGUCUGUUAGUAAGCUAACCAGCCAAUCUCAUUGCUUAGCUACAUUUUUGUCUUCCCAUUGUGUCUUUUAGGACCUAUCAUUAGGGAAGAUGAUUGACAGUGCUAAAGAAUGCGAGGGACUCAACUACUUUGAUGACGCUCACAUGAGUAAACAGUGUCAUCCUCCUAUUUGUAAUUCUGCAUCUAGUCCUAGGGAUAGUGACCUUUUGUUAUGGCACAAAUGAAUGGGCCAUCCAAGUUUUCAAUAUUGAAAACAUUUGUUUUCUUCACUUUGUUCGAAUAAAACUCUCUUGGGUUUACAAUGUGAAGUCUGUGAACUUGCAAAACAUCCUCGCACUACUUUUCCCUCAUCUCCUUAUAAACCAUCACUGCCUUUUACUCUAAUUCACAGUGACCUUUGGGGGCCUUCACGAGUUCCCAAUAGAACCCACACAAAAUGGUUUAUUACCUUUAUUGAUGACCAUUCUCGUCUCUGUUGGGUGUAUUUACUACACGAUAAAUUUGAGGUUAGUUCUGUUUUCAUGAACUUCUAUACUAUGAUUUACAUCCAAUUUCACACAAAAAUCCAAAUUCUUCGUACUGAUAAUGGCACUGAGUACUUCAAUCAUUCUUUGGGCCCCUAUCUUCAAGACAAAGGUAUUAUUCACCAGAGUUCUUGCGUUCAUACCCCCCAACAAAAUGGUGUUGCUGAACGGAAAAACCGGCAUAUUCUUGAGGUAGCUCGUGCCUUACUGUUCACCUCUCACAUGAAAAAUAAUUUUUGGGGUGAUGCUAUUCUGACCUCUGCAUUCCUUAUCAAUCGAAUGCUUAGUCGAGUUCUCUCAUUUACAACCCUUCUCCAAAAGUUCCAGGAGAUCUUCCCUGAUUCUCGGCUCAGUUCAUCUCUCCCGCUUUGUGUUUUUGGGUCCACCAUGUUUGUCCACAUUCACGCCUCCCAACGUACUAAGUUGGAUCCUAGGGCUCUCAAAUGUGUCUUCUUUGGUUACUCCCCUACUUAGAAAGGUUACAAAUGCUAUGAUCCUCUCUCACAGAAAUUAUAUGUUAGUCUUGGAUGUCACAUUUUUUUGAGCAUACUCCUUACUACUUGCUUCAGGGGGAGUCUGUCAUGUGUCUCGGGUAAGAGGGGUGCUUAUGUAAUAAAGAUAUACUAUGAGUAGAAGAUAGUAUAUUAGGAGUUUGCAUUAAAAGGUUGUAAUUAGUUUGUUGCCGCUUUGGGAGUAGUACAUUCCCAGCAACGGCAUUCUGUUACGCACAUGGGCGCUGGUGGCUGGCUUUAUAAGUAGCUGUCCAACUCAUGAAUAGGCAUAAAUGAAUAUUCUUAGAAGUUUCUAUUCUCUCUCUUCCUUUCUCUCUUCUCCCUACUGAUUCUCUCUUCCCUAAACCAUUCGUAUCAUUCUAUUGGAAAUUCAUAGUCAGCUCCUCGGAAGCUGACAUUUGGUAUCAGAGCGGUCUUCUUGGGCGCAAGCAGAGGCAGAGAGGAAUAUCCAUAUGGCCGAAGGGACGAGGAUGAAGCAGAUGGAGUCUCAAUUACAGCAAGUGGCUACAACAGUGGCGGAGGUGCAGACGAGAAUGGGAACUCUCGAAUCUUCAAUUGGAGCAGGGGUAGAUGCUCGGAUUGAUCAGGCCAUGGAGAGGUGGCGGGGUGAGAAUCGAGAACAGAAUGCUCGGUUCCAUGAGCAAGUAAUGGAACAGAUGCAGCAGAUUAUGCGAAUGUUCUCAACUCAACAACCGGUGAGACUUUCCGCUGAUUUUCCGCAAAGGGAGCGGUCGAAACCCAUUCUUCAAGGGGUAGGAAUGGAGCGCCGACCAGUGGGAAUGUCGGAGAUGGAAUUCGAGCCGGAAGGGACUGGCGAUAACAUAAGGGAGAGAAGAGCGAGAGCUCAGGGAGAUCGUUAUCAACCAAACUUUCCGGUGCCCAAACUGGAGAUUCCGCUCUUCGAUGGAGAAAAUCCUAGAUGGUGGGUAAGGAGGUGCGAACGGAUGUUCGCCUUGUAUCAGGUGCAGGAACAGCAGAAGGUCACCCUGGCCUCUGCCUACCUGAACGACAUGGCUAAUGCAUGGUACCAGGGGUGGCUGGCGGAGAAAGAAGGCAGCCCAUGGAACGAGUUCGCGGAUGACUUGUGUGAAAGAUUUGGAGAUCGGAGUAUGCGGGAUAUAGUUGAAGAGUUUAACAAGCUCAAGCAACUUGGAAUGGUACAGAAUUACCAGCUCAAGUUUGAGGAGCUGAGGUCCUUAAUGAUGAUACACAAUCCCCAUCUAUCAGAAGAGUAUUUUGUAUCGAGUUUUAUUAGUGGCUUGGGAGAUGAAGUAAGACCCAUGGUGAAAAUGAUGCAGCCAACAACAGUGAGGUUGGCCGCCGAGAGUGCAAAGUUGCAGGAAAUGAUGAUUGAAGCACUGUUAAAAAAGCAGCGCAAUCAAGUGAAGGGAGUGAUCACUGGGGGUUGGCAGACUGGUAGCAGGACUCAAGGACGAGAUGCGGUGCACAGUGGUAAGGGGGUCCUGGCAUUACCUCCUGCAGCCCCUAAUCCGACGACUGGAGGAGGGUUAAUGGAGCAGAGACGCCAAGCUAACCUAUGUUAUAGGUGCGGGGAUAAAUACUUUCCGGGACACAGAUGCAAACGACAAAUCUUGUUGCUGGAAGGGGAGGACGAGGAAGGACUCGUGGAGGAAACUUCAGGAAUGGAAGAAGGUGAUCAAGGAGAAAUCUCCCUACACGCCCUAAAAGGGGUGGCACAUAGCAAGAUCAUCAAGGUGGAAGGGCGAGCUCACCAAUGUUCGCUAAUGGUACUCAUUGAUAGCGGGAGCACCCACAGCUUCCUGGAUGAAGGCAUGGCGAAGAAGUUGGGAUGUGAAGUCUCAGAUGCCCACCCUCUCUCGGUAACAGUCGUAAACGGAAACAAGGUACUGAGUCAAUCCUCGUGUUUGGGAUUCUGCUGGGAGAUGAAUGGGGAAGCAUUUGUGGCAGAUUUGAGGCUGUUGAAAUUGGGGGGUUGUGAUGUGGUACUUGGGGUUGAUUGGAUGAGGGGUGUGAGUCCCAUCAGCUUCGAUUUCAACAAGAUGGAGGUGACCUUUGAGAAGGAUGGAAAAAAAAGAAUGCUCAAGGGUAGCCAAGAAGCAGGUAUGUGCAAAAUGAUAACGGGAAAGAGACUUCAACGGUUGCUCAAAAGCAAGUUCUCCCAAGUAGUGCAGCUGUUUUCUAUCCAGGCUUUGGAAGUGUUCGAGAAAGAACCAGAACAGGGAGGAGAAUUGGCAAUUAUAGUGAGUAGCCACCCACAUGACCAGUUAAAGGUACGCGAAACUAACGCUCUUAACAUGCUAUUAUUUGAGUUCGAAGACCUCUUUUCCGAACCUAGCUCAUUGCCUCCAAAAAGGCCUUGUGACCAUACCAUCCACCUCAAACCCAAUUCAGAACCAGUGAACGUUAGGUCCUAUCGUUAUCCUCCCAAACAGAAAACUGAGAUAGAGAAACUCAUCCAAGACAUGUUACAAAAGUCGAUUAUCCAACACAGCCAUAGCCCUUUCGCAUCUCCCGUACUCCUUGUCAAAAAGAAAGAUGGUUCAUGGAGAUUUUGUGUGGACUAUAGGCAACUCAAUGCCAUAACCAUCAAAGACAAGUUUCCCAUACCCAUUGUAGAAGACUUGCUUGAUGAAUUGAAGCACGCUUCAGUUUUCACUAAGUUGGAUCUUAGGGCAGGGUACCACCAAAUUCGAAUGGAGCCUCGGGAUAUCCCUAAAACCGCUUUUAAAACUCAUCAAGGGCACUACGAAUUCAAGGUAAUGCCCUUUGGACUCACUAACGCCCCAGCCACUUUUCAAGCAUUAAUGAACCAAAUAUUUGAGCCCUACUUGCGUGUAUUCAUUCUAGUCUUUUUCGAUGACAUUCUGAUCUAUAGUUCCACUUUCAUUGAACACCUAGCCCACUUGAGAACUACCCUCGAGGUCCUUCGACUCAAUAAACUGUAUGUUAAGAAGUCUAAGUGCUCCUUUGUACAAAGUCAUGUGGAGUAUCUGGGCCAUAUAAUAUCUCAUGCAGGAGUCAGCACCGAUCCUAGCAAGGUAGCAGCCAUGGUGGAGUGGCCGAGGCCUCAAAAUGUCAAAGGCUUACGGGGAUUUCUGGGCUUAACUGGCUAUUAUCGCCGGUUUGUCAAGGAUUAUGGAGUUGUCAGUAGGCCACUAACGGAAUUGUUGAAAAAGGAUGGCUUCCAAUGGAAUGACCGGGCUGAGGAGGCUUUUGUUAAACUAAAGGGAGCUAUGAGCGAAGUACCAACAUUGGGCUUGUCGGAUUUUGACAAGCCAUUUGUAUUGGAGACAGACGCCAGCGCUGUUGGAAUUGGAGCUGUCCUGGUACAAGGAGAUAGACCCUUGGCCUUUCUUAGUAAGGCAUUGGCUCCUCGGCAUCUCGGGUUGAGCAUUUACGAGAAGGAGCUGUUAGCAGUGCUGAUAGCGGUAGAAAAGUGGAGGCAUUACUUAGAAGGCAGUAAAUUUGUGAUCAAAACCAACCAUGAAAGUCUGAAAUUCUUACUUCAACAGAAAUUACAUACACAAUUGCAACGAAAGGGGAUGACUAAGUUGAUGGGAUUGGAUUAUGUUAUCCAAUAUCGGAAGGGAAAAGAAAACUUAACUGCAGAUGCCUUGUCAAGGUGUCAUGAGGAAGGGCAUUCUGCUGCUCUUACGGUGAUGGUUCUAGACUGGCACAGGGAAGUGGCCUCGAGUUAUGAAAAUGAUGAGAGUAUGCGAGAGCUGCUACAACAACUGGUGGUGGAUCCUAGUGCUAAACCAGGUUACACCUUGACUAAUGGACUUAUCAGAAACAGAGAGAGGCUGGUAAUAGGAGAUGAUGAGAAUUUGAGGAAAAAAAUUGUGGAGACGCUGCACAGUUCUCCAAUAGGGGGCCACUCCGGAAUAGUUGCUACCUAUCACAAAGUUAAGCAACACUUUCAUUGGCCCGGGUUAAAAAAAUAUGUGAUGGACUGGGUGUUGAGUUGUGAUGUUUGUAAACGGUGUAAAUCAGAAUCGGUGGCCCACCCUGGGUUAUUGCAGCCACUAAGUAUUCCAGGAGGGCCUUGGGAAAGUAUCUCAAUGGACUUCAUUGAGGGUCUACCCAAAUCGGAUGGGCGAGACUGCAUAAUGGUGAUAGUGGACAGAUUCACCAAGUAUGCCCAUUUCAUCGGAUUGGCACAUCCCUACACAGCUCAAGAGGUAGCAAAAGUGUUCCUAGACCAAGUGGUGAAGUUACAUGGAACCCCUAAGACUAUAGUGUCGGACAAGGACAGAAUUUUUAUGAGCCUCUUGUGGAAGGAAUUGACUGGAAUAUUGGGAAUUCAACUCAGCAUGUCGACGGCCUAUCAUCCCGAAUCCGAUGGUCAGACCGAGCGAGUAAACCAAUGUUUGGAGACCUACUUAAGAUGUGCUUGCUUCUUACAGCCGAGGACUUGGCAUAAGUGGCUCGCAUUGGCACAAUGGUGGUAUAAUUCUAACUACCACAACUCCAUAAAGAGGUCCCCGUUUGAAGCCCUAUAUGGUUAUAAACCGACCUUACUGCCAGACCUGGGAAGUUCUUCGACAGUGGCAGCCUUGGAUACUUACCUUCAACAGAGACAACAAGCCUUCCAGUCAAUCAAAACGGAAUUGGCCAGCGCUAGGAAUCGUAUGAAACAAUUUGCUGAUAGAAGGAGAAGUGAACGGGAAUUUCAAGUGGGAGAGUGGGUGUAUCUUAAGCUUCAGCCAGGCCAUCUGAAAGCUCUACUUGGGAAGCCUAGUUCAAAGCUCAAUCCGAGGUAUUAUGGCCCUUUCCUGGUGUUAGCUCGAGUUGGGAAUGUGGCUUAUCGUUUAUAGCUGCCGGAAAAUUCCAAUAUACAUCCGGUUUUUUAUGUGUCCUUGCUAAAAAAGGCAAUUGGGCAGCAAGCAGUCAAUCCAGAGCUACCUCGCCUUCCAAAUUCAAAUGACAGCCCAAAGGAACCUAUAGCGAUACUUGACAGGAGAGUGAUAUACAACCAAGGAGCUCCCAUCAUCUAGGUGCUAGUGCAGUGGUCUAAUCUACAUUCCGACAACAACACUUAGGAAUACCUUCCAGAUAUUCUCAAACAAUUUCCCAAGGCAGCGGGACUUCUCACCAUUUCUUGAGGACAAGAAGAAUUUAAAGGGAGGGGAGAUUGUCAUGUGUCUCGGGUAAGAAGGGUGCUUAUGUAAUAAAGAUAUACUAUGAGUAGAAGAUAGUAUAUUAGGAGUUUGCAUUAAAAGGUUGUAAUUAGUUUGUUGCCACUUUGGGAGUAGUACAUUCCCAGCAACGACAUUCUGUUACGCACAUGGGCGCUAGUGGCAGGCUUUAUAAGCAGCUGUCCAACUCAUGAAUAGGCAUGAAUGAAUAUUCUUAGAAGUUUCUAUUCUCUCUCUUCCUUUCUCUCUUCUCCCUACUGAUUCUCUCUUCCCUAAACCAUUCGUAUCAUUCCAUCGGAAAUUCAUAGUCAGCUCCUCGGAAGUUGACAGAGUCCUUGAGUGAAGCUCGACCCUCAGACACUGACUUCGAUGUUGCGAUCUUUGAGUCUACCCCUUACAAUACACCCUCUCUUUCUUUAUCCAACGCAGAAGGAAUCUUGAACUCAAGGGGAGGUGUGGGAAAGCAAACAGAUAGGGAGACACUUGUCUACUUAAGGAGACCUAAAUCAAAGCCUGAUGAGACUCUCGCAUUCAAAGCACCAAAAGAGUUUGAACCGGUGAUAGCUCCGACUACUCAUGAGCUAAAACCCAAUCCUCACCAGGUAAAAAAUCUUGAUGACUUACCCAUUGCUCUUAGAAAACAAUCUUGUUCAUGUACUCUCCAUCCUAUCUCAAAAUUUGUAUCUUACAAUGCUUUUUCUACCAAGUGUCGUACUUUUACGUCUAACCUUGACAGAAUCCAGAUUCCUAAGAAUAUUCAAGAAGCCUUGGAGAUUCCAGAAUGGAGAGAAGCAAUGAUGGAAGAAAUAAGGGCAUUAGAAAAAAAUGGAACUUGGGAGGUGAUGACAUUGCCAAGGGGGAAGAAACCAGUGGGCUAUAAGUGGGUGUUCACGAUGAAGUACAAGGUGGAUGGCAUAGUAGAACGGUACAAAGCCCGCCUAGUUGUAAAGGGGUUCACUCAAACAUACAGUAUUGACUAUACCGAGACAUUUGCACCAGUAGCAAAGUUGAAUACUAUGCGGGUUCUCUUGUCCUUGGCAGCAAACCUGGACUAGUCACUCCAUUAGUUUGACAUCAAGAAUGCUUUUCUGAAUGGUGAACUAGAGGAAGAAGUAUUCAUGACGCUACCACCAGGAUUUUACAAGGAGGGAAAAGAAACUUGUACGUUGAAGAAAUCUCUAUAUGGGCUCAAGUAAUCACCAAGAGCGUGGUUUGAUAGAUUUGCGAAGGUAAUUAAGAAUCAAGGAUAUCAACAGGGACAGUCAGAUCAUACUAUGUUCUUCAAACAAUCCAAUGAUGGAGGAGGACCAUUCUGAUCGUGUAUGUUGAUGACAUCAUACUCACUGGAGAUAACAUAGAAGAGGUGGAAAUAUUGAAGAAGGUCUUAGCCACAGAGUUUGAGGUAAAAAACCUAGGUCAAAUGCGAUAUUUUCUGGGAAUGGAAGUCGCCAAAUCAAAGAAGGGAAUUAGUGUCUCCCAGAGAAAGUAUGUUCUUGACCUUUUGAUUGAGAUUGGUAUGCUUGGUUGCAAGCUAAGCAAUACCCCGAUUGAGGCAGGGAAAAGAAUGGAAGACAUUGGAAAGCCUGUGGAUAGAGAAAGAUAUCAGAUGCUAGUAGGUAUAUUGAUCUACCUAUCUCACACUAGACCUAACAUUACUUUCGUUGUAAGUGUGGUCAGUCAGCAUAUGCAUUCACCAAAGGAGAGUCACCUAGAAGCGGUAUAUAAGAUUCUUAGAUAUUUGAAAGGCUCUCUAGGGCGAGGUCUAUUCUUUAAGAAAUGAGACAGUAAGAAGAUAAAGAUCUAUACAGAUGCAGAUUGGGCAGGCUCAGCAGAAGAUCAAAGGUCUACUACCGGCUACUGUACCUAUGUUUGGGGAAAUCUGGUAACAUGAAGGAGUAAGAAGCAGAGUGUGGUAGCCAGAAGUAGUGCCGAAGCUGAAUUCAGAGCUGUUGCACAAGGGAUGUGUGAAGGGCUAUGGUUACAAAAGGUUUUGGAGGAACUACAUAUCACAGUAGAGUUCCCCAUCAAACUCUACUACGACAACAAAGUUGCUAUCAAUAUUUCCCAUAAUCCUGUUCAGCACGACAGGACUAAACAUAUAGAAGCUGACAGACAUUUUAUAAAGGAGAAAAUUGAGAAAGGGACAAUCUGCUUGACUUAUAUCCCUACAAGAGAACAAUUGGCAGAUAUAUUCAUUAAGGGGUUACAGAAGUCUAGCUUUGAAGAGUUUAUCUGCAAGUAGGACAUGAUCAACAUAUAUGAUCCAACUUGAGGGGGAGUGUUGAAAUCCUAAACGAUUUGAAGAGGAUUUGGAGGAGAUUGCGGUAAGAGAUUGAGACCAUAAUGAGAUCCAAUAUUUAGGCUGAUUAUUUGGGUUUAAUUUUAUGUUGCCAUAUUUGUUGAUUCUCUAUGUACAUGUUAAAUAGGGACCGAGUAUGCAAAGAAUAUUUGAACUAAUUGAAUAAGGUUUUGAUUCAAUUUCUAUAUUCUCAUCGUCUUCAGUAUUUUCUCAACCCUAUUACUUAGAGGGUAUUAAAUCCUAAAUUCUCUAAGUUGUUCAUGGUAUUAGAGCCUGGUUUUCGGUAAUCUGUAUGCCUGGUUUUUUCACACCAAUCUGCUCUAAGAUGGCUAGUUCUUCACCAACUAGUGAGUCCUCAAGUAUUUGCCCUACUACCUCUCGAUCUAUACCACCAGUUUCUGCCCCUAUUUCGUUAGAUCACCACACCCUUCAAAUCACUCAACAUGAACUCAAUGGGACCAAUUUUUGGGAAUGGUCUCAAUCGGUUAUAUUGGUUAUGAAAGGCAAAGGAAAAGUGGGAUAUCUAAAGGGGGAGUUUCAAAACCAUAUCCUGAAGCGACCAAUUUUGAAGCAUGGGAUGCUGAAAACUCCAUAGUGAUGACUUGGCUCAUCAAUUCCAUGGAGCCAAAGAUAGGGAGAACCUAUUUGUUCUAUAAAACAACAAAAGAAGUAUGGGAUGCAGUCCAAAGUCUUUACUCAAACAUGGAGAAUACAACACAAUGUUUUGAAGUUCGAUCAGCCCUAAGAACCACUUGUCAAGGUGACAAUUCGGUGAUUGAUUACUAUAAUAUACUAUCUGAAUUAUGGUAGGAGAUGGAUCUGUUUUAUGAUAUCAGUUGGGAGUGUACAAAGGAUGGGGUGAAGUAUUCUAAAAUGAUAGAGAAGGUGAGGGUAUUUGACUUCCUACAUGGGCUGAAUUCUGACUUAGAUGAAGUCAGAGGAAGGCUGUUAGGAACAAAACCCUUUCCAUCUAUCAAGGAGGCUUUUGCUGAAGUUAGGAGGGAAGAAAGCUGAAAGAAGGUCAUGCUCCAUGCAUCACCUGAAAUUAAUAACCAGACUGGCUCAACCCUUGCUGUUUCUAAACCAAAAACAACACCAACUUGCGGAGAAUUUCAGAAAGAAAAGCAAUGGUGUGAUCAUUGUGGAGGCUUUUGCUGAAGUUAGGAGGGAAGAAAGCUGAAAGAAGGUCACGCUCCAUGCAUCACCUGAAAUUAAUAACCAGACUGGCUCAACCCUUGCUGUUUCUAAACCAAAAACAACACCAACUCGUGGAGAAUUUCAGAAAGAAAAGCAAUGGUGUGAUCAUUGUCACAAGCCCUACCAUACCAGAGAAACAUGCUCGAAAAUACAUGGGGAACCAGCCAAUUGGAAAGGGAAAGGUCAGAAGAAGCAGCAAACAGCCUAUGCAGUAGAUGCUGAAGAAGGUACUGGGAAGACGUCUUGUGCUCGUGUAAUAGCAAAUCAAGCGG